CACCUACGGGAGGCAGCAGUGGGGAAUAUUGCACAAUGGGGGAAACCCUGAUGCAGCGACGCCGCGUGGAGGAAGAAGGUCUUCGGAUUGUAAACUCCUGUCCUUUUGGACGAUAAUGACGGUACCCCAGGAGGAAGCACCGGCUACCUACGUGCCAGCAGCCGCGGUAAAACGUAGGGUGCAAGCGUUGUCCGGAAUUACUGGGUGUAGAGGGAGCGCAGGCGGAUUGACAAGUUCGGAGUGCACACUACGGGCUCAACCCGUAACCUGCUU
rnacentral:rRNA from 1 species